GGAUAUUGCACAAUGGGCGCAAGCCUGAUGCAGCGACGCCGCGUGGGUGAAGAAGGUUUUCGGAUCGUAAAGCCCUGUUCUGCGUGACGAGAAGAGACGGUAGCGCAGGAGAAAGUGUCGGCUAACUACGUGCCAGCAGCCGCGGUAAAACGUAGGACGCAAACGUUAUCCGGAAUUACUGGGCGUAAAGGGCGCGCAGGCGGGUCUGUAAGUGAGGCAUGAAAGCCCCAGGCUAAACCUGGGGAGGCUG
rnacentral:rRNA from 1 species